rnacentral:rRNA from 1 species
GAUGAACGCUGGCGGCGUGCUUAACACAUGCAAGUCGAGCGAAGCGAUUUUAAGGAAGCUUUCGGGUGGAAUUAAAAUUGACUGAGCGGCGGACGGGUGAGUAACGCGUGGGUAACCUGCCUCAUACAGGGGGAUAACAGUUAGAACUGACUGCUAAUACCGCAUAAGCGCACAGUCCUACAUAGCAAAGUGUGAAAAACUCCGGUGGUAUGAGAUGGACCCGCGUCUGAUUAGGUAGUUGGUGGGGUAACGGCCUACCAAGCCGACGAUCAGUAGCCGACCUGAGAGGGUGACCGGCAACAUUGGGACUGAGACACGGCCCAAACUCCUACGGGAGGCAGCAGUGGGGAAUAUUGGACAAUGAGGGAAACCUUGAGCCAGCGACGCCGCGUGAGUGAAGAAGUAUUUCGGUAUGUAAAGCUCUAUCAGCAGGGAAGAAAAUGACGGUACCUGACUAAGAAGCCCCGGCUAACUACGUGCCAGCCGCCGCGGUAUCAC